CCUUGAUGACGACUGGCGCACGGGUGAGUAACGCGUAUCCAACCUUCCCAUAACUACGGAUAACCGUUGAAGACGGCCUAAUACCGUAUGACAUCGUUUGCUGACAUCAAAUAACGAUUAAAGGUUUAGCGGUUAUGGAUGGGGAUGCGUCUGAUUAGCUUGUUGGCGGGGUAACGGCCCACCAAGGCAACGAUCAGUAGGGGUUCUGAGAGGAAGGUCCCCCACAUUGGAACUGAGACACGGUCCAAACUCCUACGGGAGGCAGCAGCC
rnacentral:rRNA from 1 species